UCCGAGUUGACCCCGGCAGUCUCCCAUGAGUCCCCACCAUUACGUGCUGGCAACAUGGGACGAGGGUUGCGCUCGUUGCGGGACUUAACCCAACAUCUCACGACACGAGCUGACGACAACCAUGCACCACCUGUGCACCGACCUUGCGGAACCACCAUCUCUGGCAGCGUCCGGUGCAUGUCAAGCCAUGGUAAGGUUCUUCGCGUUGCAUCGAAUUAAUCCGCACGCUCCGCCGCUUGUGCGGGCCCCCGUCAAUUCCUUUGAGUUUUAGCCUUGCGGCCGUACUCCCCAGGCGGGGCGCUUAAUGCGUUAACUACGGCACGGAAAACAAUGAAGCUCCCCACACCUAGCGCCCAACGUUUACGGCGUGGACUAC
rnacentral:misc_RNA from 1 species